rnacentral:lncRNA from 1 species
CUUUUGCAAUUUCAUUUAUUUUGGUCAACAAUAUGUGACUUUUCUUCAUGAACAUCCUGCAUAUUCCUUGUUUCAUUUAUCCUUGGUUAUUUAGAACAUUUCUUCUAUUUUAAUGCUAACUUCAAUUGACUCAAAUUUUGUUGACGGCUUGUGAGAUCAACCAAAAGCUAAAUGAAAUCAGUCUUCUGUGUGUGUGUUUGUUUUUAAUGCUUUCUAGAUUAGUCUGACAUGCACACCCAAUCGGAAAACACUAGCGCAGAAGAGGGAGAGCCUAAUAUCAGCAUUACCUAGGUAUUAGAAGAAUUUGGAUAUUAUUAUAUACACCUGGCAUGAUAGCUAGGACAGAACCUGUUCUGCCGGGAGAAGGCGCCUGCUCAGGGUUUCUCUUUCCCUACAUGGGAACCCCUGAAGGAGAGUCCUGCCUGUGAUCUUCAUUUAGAAGGCUAGUGCUGACCACUGCUUGGUUCUCAUCAAUCCAUCCUUGAGAUAUCCCCAAUCUCAUCUUAAAUCUGAAUUGAACCUGUCAUAUUAUAGCCUGGCUCUUCUCUCACCAACUAUUUGGGGGUAAUGUAGUGAUUCAUUUUGUUUCCACAUAUUAUUUUAAGUUCUUACUACCUCCUUCCCCCAUCUAGGUUCAGAUUUUCCCCUGCUUUUAACAUCUUGGUCCAGGCAGCUACAUUAUCAAACUGUACUAGGAUGGCAAAAUCAUUUUUUCACAUAUGCUAACCAUCAAUGAUUAGUGGUGAUUUUAUGGAAAAAUAUGUUGAGAAUAAUUUAGAGGAAAGAUUUGGGUUCAGAUAGAACUAUCUGCCAUUGGUAAGUAAAGUAAAGUGAUGUUGUCACUUAUUUUAUCCCAUCCAUGAUGAGAAUUGAUGUUUAUAAAACCUUUGACUAUACAAUGAGAGUAUUAAGCAAAAAACAAGUAACAAAAAUUAAAAAUAAAAUGCUUUUGUAAUCAAGGUCAGAGAGGAUAUUCUUUUACUUUUUCCAUUACAUUAUUCAUGUGUGCAUAAUGGUGUACAGUAUUACUUUCCAUGUGUAAAAAAGAAAUCAUACAAUAGAGUGCAUAGAGAAGUGGAGAAAUGGAGAAUAGUUCUCAAAGUUAUUUGAUCUGGCAGAUUAUCUUCCAAAGAUGAGUGCAACUGUAUUUUCCAUAUCACAGCCUCUUCUGGAAUAUUAAACUCUGCCCCCAUCAAGAGGUGGUGUCUGUGUCUGUUCUUGAAUUUGGGUGGGUCUUCCCGACUGCUUCAACCAAGAGAGUCCAGUAGAAAUGAUACUAUAUGAUUUUGGAGGUUAGAUCAAAAGACUGCCAUGCAUUUUAAUUUUGUUUUUUGAGGGUUGCUGUCUUUUAGAACCCAGCCAACAUACUGUGAUGAAGCCUAAACAACUGUGGAGAGGCUCACGUGGAGAGGAGUCAAUGCCCACUGAUCUAUAAGCCUUGGCUGAGCUCUGAGCCAACAGUCAUGAUCAACUUCCAGCCGUAUAAGUGAACCAUCUUGAAAGAGGCUUCACCAGCACCAAGUUGAGCAACUUGAUUAUGUUACCAAAGAUCACCUCCUUCCUAUCAUCUUCCGUCUGAGACUUGCUUAGAGUGAGUUUGGAAGCUGUGUUUUGCUCAUCCUGAAGACUGAACAUAAGAAAAUAUUGCUCAAGUUCUGGAUGAUGCAGCUGCUGAAAUAAUCUGUGGUGCACUUUCCUUCAGGAAUCCUUACCUAUUUUUUCAGGUGUUCCACAAGCCUUCUUAUCUUGGAAUUCAGUAAUACUUAUUGUGUGGUUGCUUACUGUUCCCUAGGCACCCUGAAGCAUUGAAGCUUUGAAGCUUUGUCUCAUGCUUUCAAGUAAUGUUCUCGUGUUUACCUGCUGAUAUUCCUUCAAAGUUAGAGGCUGCCUCUCUCCAAGUGUGGAAAAAAACAAUCAGAUGUCACUAAGAUAUUGUGUAACAAUUCAUAUUAAACACAUGAUCUUGUCAGUCAAGAAGAAGAGAUUAAAACAAACACCUUGAGAGUUCAUGAGUAGAAGUAUACAGCCCUGCAUUCAUGAUAAUAUGGUGCAUUUUACCUACCUUGCAGCAGAAAGAGAUAUCUAAUUCCAUACACAGCAAUGUAACUGUUUAAAGUGCUCCUAAAAUUCAGACAAAACAAAUUAUAAAUAGUAUCAAGAUCAAAGAAGCUGAAAGUCCCUAUGUUUGAUGUAGGCACAGCAAAGUUUGAUGUAUAUGCUCAUUUCUCAGCACUGCAAGUAUGGAGAAACCAUCAGAAAGCAUGCUGAAAAUAGAGAGGGCUUCUAAAACAGAAAGCUCCUGCCUGUUUUACUGAAGGCUACCAGAUUCUUUCUCAGAAAUUUUGUACAGUUCAGAGGCACAAAUGCUCUUUUAGGUCCUUUGAAGCACUGGGUUUAAUAUCGGAAUUUAAUCUUGGCUCUAGUCUCCAAUUCCUUACAUAGUCAUUCAAGCAAUCUUGGGGACCAAGUCUUCCAAUAGCAUAGUGAUAUUCAUGCCUGAAGUGGGAGGAAUAGAUAUCCUCCUCAUUAACAAGGGAUGAGAGAUCAUGUUUCAUAGGCAAAAUACUCAUGCAUGCAAAAAUGUAACUUUUCCAGUAAUUUUUUUAGUACUGAAAUUAGCUUAGCUCAUUAGCUCUCUCUUCUACCUAGUAGCAGGGAAUGCAGUUUUGCUAACCCAGGUGACUCAUUAUUUCUGUUUUCAAGUUUAGUUUAUUUUAGGUAAAUUUUUGAAUUCAUAAUGUUUUUCUGACCUUUCUUCUCUUCCAGAAGAGGUUAUUCUAACUUCUUAAUGGAUUUACUUUUGUAGUUGUUACUGUUAUAUAUAUAUAAU